rnacentral:rRNA from 1 species
CAGCCGCCGCGGUAAUACGAGGGGGGCAAGCGUUGUUAGGAAUUAUCGGGCGUAAAGGGCGCGUAGGCGGUUUGACAAGUUUGGUGUGAAAUCUAUGGGCUCAACCCAUAGCCUGCAUCGAAAACUGUCGGGCUUGAGUAUGGGAGAGGUGCGUGGAAUUUCCGGUGUAGCGGUGAAAUGCGUAGAUAUCGGAAGGAACACCUGUGGCGAAAGCGGCUCACUGGACCAUUACUGACGCUGAGGCGCGAAAGCUAGGGGAGCAAACAGGAUUAGAGACCCCAGUAGUCCAUGUCUCUUAUAC